rnacentral:rRNA from 1 species
AGGCGGGUCUCUGGGUAGUAACUGACGCUGAGGAGCGAAAGCGUGGGUAGCGAACAGGAUUAGAUACCCUGGUAGUCCACGCCGUAAACGGUGGGUACUAGGUGUGGUUCCUUUUCACGGGAUCCGUGCCGUAGCUAACGCAUUAAGUACCCCGCCUGGGGAGUACGGCCGCAAGGCUAAACUCAAAGGAAUUGACGGGGGCCCGCACAAGCGGCGGAGCAUGUGGAUUAAUUCGAUGCAACGCGAAGAACCUUACCUGGGUUUGACAUACACCAGACGCGGCUAGAGAUAGUCGUUCCCUUGUGGUUGGUGUACAGGUGGUGCAUGGCUGUCGUCAGCUCGUGUCGUGAGAUGUUGGGUUAAGUCCCGCAACGAGCGCAACCCUUGUCCUGUAUUGCCAGCGGGUUAU